GUAAGGAAUAUUGGGCAAUGGAGGCAACUCUGACCCAGCCAUGCCGCGUGAAGGAUUGACGGCCCUCUGGGUUGUAAACUUCUUUUGUACGGGAAUAACCCUCCGAACGUGUUCGGAGCUGAAGGUACCGUAAGAAUAAGGAUCGGCUAACUCCGUGCCAGCAGCCGCGGUAAUACGGAGGAUCCAAGCGUUAUCCGGAUUUACUGGGUUUAAAGGGUGCGUAGGCGGAUUGAUAAGUCAGUGGUGAAAUCCUGCAGCUUAACUGCAGAACUGCCAUUUAUACUGCCAGUCUGGAGUAUGGUUGAGGUAGCUGGAAUGUGUCAUGUAGCGGUGAAAUGCUUAGAGAUGACACAGAACACCGACGGCGAAGGCAGGUUACCAACCCAUUACUGACGCUGAGGCACGAAAGCGUGGGGAUCAAACAGGAUUAGAUACCCGAGUAGUCC
rnacentral:rRNA from 1 species